AGACCCGAAACCCGGUGAUCUAGCCAUGGGCAGGUUGAAGGUUGGGUAACACUAACUGGAGGACCGAACCGACUAAUGUUGAAAAAUUAGCGGAUGACCUGUGGCUGGGGGUGAAAGGCCAAUCAAACCGGGAGAUAGCUGGUUCUCCCCGAAAGCUAUUUAGGUAGCGCCUCGUGAAUUCAUCUCCGGGGGUAGAGCACUGUUUCGGCUAGGGGGCCAUCCCGGCUUACCAACCCGAUGCAAACUGCGAAUACCGGAGAAUGUUAUCACGGGAGACACACGGCGGGUGCUAACGUCCGUCGUGAAGAGGGAAACAACCCAGACCGCCAGCUAAGGUCCCAAAGUCAUGGUUAAGUGGGAAACGAUGUGGGAAGGCCCAGACAGCCAGGAUGUUGGCUUAGAAGCAGCCAUCAUUUAAAGAAAGCGUAAUAGCUCACUGGUCGAGUCGGCCUGCGCGGAAGAUGUAACGGGGCUAAACCAUGCACCGAAGCUGCGGCAGCGAACGUAUCACCCAAGACAACUUUGCGGAGUUGACGAUUGACGGAGCGAAGCGACGUCAAAGC
rnacentral:rRNA from 1 species